UACGAGGACUUGAUCAGCUGCACAAGUACAUGUGGGUGCAGCUGGUUACUAGAAUGUUUGAAGGCAUGGCUGGCAACCUCACCUACACCACUGACCUUCAUCUCUUUCUCAAUGUGAUCAAUGGCGCCUUCCUUCUCCACUGUGAGGACUCCUCAAUGCUAAGACUUUGUAUGGCUUCCUACAUCAACGCUGCUUAUCACUUUAAAAACCUCUUCUCUACAAACGGGUAUCUACACAUCAUGCCAACAAUUUUAAGAAUAUACAGCAACUACCAGAGCAACAGAUGGUGGUGACUGUGAUCGAGUUCAUUGUUAAGCAGCUAUAUAUCCUCCACCGUAAACCCUUCGUCCUGCAGAUGCUGGGUUCUGUUGCUUCCAUCCUAGACAUGGAUGAGACUGCUAUUUACGGAGAUGCCAAUAAGAUCCAGCCUCGGCGUCUCUUUGACAUAUUACUGUCUCUGGAACGUCACCACGAAGACCCGCUGCACAUCCUUGACCUUGUAA